rnacentral:rRNA from 1 species
GUCUAUGGCCACACUACCCUGAAUGUGCCCAAUCUCAUCUGAUAUUGGAAGCUAAGCAGGAUCAGUCCUGCUUAGUACUUGGAUGGGAGAAAACCUACUAUGUAGUAAACU